rnacentral:rRNA from 1 species
GGUCGUGACUGCGUGCCUUUUGAAGAAUGAGCCUGCGAGUUUGCGGUGUGUUGCGAGGUUAACCCGUGUGGGGAAGCCGUAGCGAAAGCGAGUCCGAAUAGGGCGUUUUAGUAGCGCGCUCAAGACCCGAAGCGGAGUGAUCUAGCCAUGGGCAGGUUGAAGCGCGGGUAAGACCGUGUGGAGGACCGAACCCACCAGGGUUGAAAACCUGGGGGAUGACCUGUGGUUAGGGGUGAAAGGCCAAUCAAACUCCGUGAUAGCUGGUUCUCCCCGAAAUGCAUUUAGGUGCAGCGUCGUGUGUUUCUUGCCGGAGGUAGAGCACUGGAUAGGCGAUGGGCCCUACCGGGUUACUGACCUUAGCCAAACUCCGAAUGCCGGUAAGUGAGAGCGCGGCAGUGAGACUGUGGGGGAUAAGCUCCAUGGUCGAGAGGGAAACAGCCCAGAGCAUCGACUAAGGCCCCUAAGCGUACGCUAAGUGGGAAAGGAUGUGGAGUCGCAGAGACAACCAGGAGGUUGGCUUAGAAGCAGCCAUCCUUGAAAGAGUGCGUAAUAGCUCACUGGUCAAGUGAUUCCGCGCCGACAAUGUAGCGGGGCUCAAGCGUACCGCCGAAGUCGUGUCAUU